rnacentral:rRNA from 1 species
UACGUAGGGCGCAAGCGUUGUCCGGAAUUAUUGGGCGUAAAGAGCUCGUAGGCGGCUUGUCACGUCGGGUGUGAAAGCCCGGGGCUUAACCCCGGGUCGGCAUUCGAUACGGGCAGGCUAGAGUGUGGUAGGGGAGAUCGGAAUUCCUGGUGUAGCGGUGAAAUGCGCAGAUAUCAGGAGGAACACCAAUGGCGAAAGCAGGUACCUGGACUAUUACUGACGCUCAGCUGCGAAAGCUAGGGGAGCAAACAGG